AAUGCACUUUACGUUGGUCUGUCAACCGCCAAAACACAAAACGAGAAGAAGAAGAAGAAGAAGAAAGUAUCAAUAGAAGAAGAAGAAGAAAAAAAGUUACGCGAUCGAAGCUACGUAACCUUGAAGUUUCAAUCUCGCCCCCACAUCAAAAGAUUAGAGAACUUUUGUGUUGUGGUUCCUGCCUAUGUUUGGUGCUGAUUAAAAGAAGAAACUCCUCAAGACUGAAGGCCUGAUGUGGACCAGCAGGACCCAGAGCCUCUUAUCAUAGAGUGGAAGAGAAGACCCUUGGACCAGUGUGGUGGGAGACCAUCUCUAUAUGGAGAAGACUGAUCUCAGGUUUUUGGUCUCUACAGUUCCUUUAAAGAGUGAGGAGGAUAAUAAAAAACUUACUAGGAACCCAGAUUUAAAGACUCACAAAGACACUUCCAGCUCUUCAAAGACUGACGUUAAUGAGGAUGAUGAAGAGGAUGGUGAACUGACCAAUCUUGAUUCUCCGCUAAAGAACUCAUCAGACUCUGAAUCAGAACGUGAAGACAGCAUCAAAGACUGGAAGGAGAGCAGGGCUCCUGAAAAAGAGGUAAAAACUGUCAACAAAUCUUUGAGCUGCUCUGAGUGUGGUAAGCAGUAUGUCAGCAACUCGAGACUUCAAAGACACAUGGCAAGUCAUUCAGGAGUGAAGUCUUCAAGAUGUCUGCUUAAUAAAAAAUGUGUUGGAGAGAAGAAAAAUUUAGAGUCAUGCAGGAAAGUCCAGGCAAGGCCAAAAUCAAUAAGAUGUGAUGACUGUGGUAAAAGAUUUACUUCGAAAGCAGAUUUAAACAAACACAUGAGAGUCCACACAGGAGACAAAUCAUUUCCUUGUGAUCUUUGUGGACAUAGAUUUAGUUGUGAGACGUCUUUAAACACACACUUGAAAGUCCACACAGGAGAAAAACCGUUUCCUUGUGAUCUUUGUGGACAUAGAUUUAGACAUAAGACCAAUUUAAUCAGA